rnacentral:lncRNA from 1 species
CAGUGCUCAAGUGUGACUCUCGCACAGUAAAUGUGUCGUGGCAUGCUGCCGCUGGUGCCAGCGUAUACACGGUCCUGGCACAAACACAGAAUCAAAGCAUUCCUCUCUCUUCCUGUCGGACCUCAGCCACUUCCUGUGACCUCACGCAAAUCCACUGUGGGGAGGUUUUUAAUGUCACAGUGUUUGCUGAUGACGGAGCCUGCAACAGCUCAGCACGGGCCAGCACUACACUGGAGUCGGCGCCAUGUCCUCCGACAAUGAGGCCUCCUUCACUGAACUGCAGCACUAAUGCGGCCCUUGUGUCCUGGGUGAAGGACCCAGAUGCUGUGAGUGUCCGUGUCAGUGCCACCUCUGACCUGGGACACACUGCCUCUUGCAGCUCUUCUGCAAACAACUGCUCCCUGGACGCCAUGCUAUGUGGUCAGACGUACAAUGUAUAUGGUGUGGCCCGGGGCCCUCAGUGUGAGAGUGCACCUAGUGCUCCAUUCAGUAUUGUCACAGCCCCCUGCACCCCUGCUGAAGUGAGCGCUAACUACAGCUGCGGCACCAGCACAGAGCUGAGCUGGACUGACAGUCUGGGCCGAAAGAGCUUCUAUGUGCUUGCACAGACGAACAAUCACUCAGACUCCUGCAGCACAGUCCAAACCCACUGCUCCAUCAAUUCACUGAAGUGUGGAAGUCUUUAUAAUGUCUCUGUGGAAUCAAUUUCUGGCCACUGCAACAGCAGCCAUGCAGUCCACACACAGCUACAGACAGGUGAACACUCAUAAACGCAACACUUAUUUAC